rnacentral:rRNA from 1 species
UACGUAGGGCGCAAGCGUUGUCCGGAAUUAUUGGGCGUAAAGAGCUCGUAGGCGGUCUGUUACGUCCGCUGUGAAAACCCAGGGCUUAACCCUGGGCUUGCAGUGGAUACGGGCAGACUAGAGGCAGGUAGGGGAGAAUGGAAUUCCCGGUGUAGCGGUGAAAUGCGCAGAUAUCGGGAGGAACACCGGUGGCGAAGGCGGUUCUCUGGGCCUGACCUGACGCUGAGGAACGAAAGCGUGGGGAGCGAACAGG